UACGGAAGGGGCUAGCGUUGUUCGGAAUCACUGGGCGUAAAGCGCGCGUAGGCGGCUUGGCAAGUGAGGCGUGAAAGUCCUGGGCUCAACCCGGGGACGGCGCUUCAGACUGCGGGGCUAGAGUCCGGAAGAGGGUGGUGGAAUUCCGAGUGUAGAGGUGAAAUUCGUAGAUAUUCGGAGGAACACCGGCGGCGAAGGCGGCCACCUGGUCCGGAACUGACGCUCAAGUGCGAAAGCGUGGGGAGCAAACAGGAUUAGAUGCCCUGGUAGUCCACGCCGUAAACGAUGGGUGCUGGAUGUCGGGGGGCUUGCCCUUCGGUGUCGUAGCUAACGCGUUAAGCACCCCGCCUGGGGAGUACGGCCGCAAGGUUAAA
rnacentral:rRNA from 1 species